AGAACAAAAAAUUAUAUAAGGGUGAGGCCCUUAAAAAUUCCCUAGAUGAGGUUGUUUUGAUGCUAAAAAAUCUUCAAAUUGACUAUCAACCUCAAGAUGUAUGGACAUGAGAAAAAAUGGUCAUUAUUUUUUAAGCACUAAAUUUUAUAAUUGGAUACAAAAAUAAAUUUUCAGACCAUUACAAAGAUUGUUAAGACUAGAACAAUACCU
rnacentral:lncRNA from 1 species